rnacentral:lncRNA from 1 species
UGGGGUUCAUGAGUUCAUUAUUUUAAAAAGCCCCCUAGAUGAUUCUGAUUGAUGCGAAAUAUAGAUUGGCCAAUGCUUUGAACAGCAUAUGAGAAGCACAAUGUCUGUUCAGAACACAAAAGCUCAUGUCCUCAUCAUUACACCACUUAAAGAAACAGUAGUGUAAAAGUUUCUAAUAGGGCAUUUCUAUCCUAGAAGCUCUAUUCUAUUAAGCUCUGAAAUAAUGUACUAUUUUGAAUUAGAAGCUAAUGAAAGAAUUCAAAGAACAUUUGAAAAGACAUUGUCAUGUUUUAUUGUUCAAAUGUUUCUUAUGAGAAUAUAUUUCUAAUUUAAGACAUAACGGUGUCUCUAACACUCCACAAGCUGGACAAGGGCAAAAUAAUUCCAACUAUUAAAACCAUCAUAAUGAUAAAUAAAUUAUAAGGCUGCUUAAAUUUCACUGAGGGAAAACUCCUUUUACAUAGAUGAUAGAAAUCCUGUAGCUCUAGUGGUAUCUGAACUGUUGUCACAAUUUAUCUUUUUUGGGUGCCUUGAACAUGACCACUUUUCUUAGGUUUUUGUCUUAACAUUCCUUAAAGGAUUCCAUUUAACAUCAUAUUGUUAUCUUUUAGUAUGUUUCUCACACACACACAAAAAAUAGUUUGCGGCAUGCAUCCUUCUCCCCUGAAAUGAGUACAUCGACAAGAAUAAGUACAUGCAAUUUAAGGAAGAACACUGGUAGAGAAGUAGAAAGACAAAGGCUUUAGGUAUGAUCAGGUGAGUCAGCAAUCUGAGAUUACUUUUCCACUUCUAAAUGGGAGAGUAAGGAACAAUAACAUUUAAAGCACAGUAGUGAGGCACCUGGGUGGCUCAGUGGUUGAGCAUCUGCCUUGGGGUCAGAUCAUGACCCCAGGGUACCGGUAUUGAGUCCCACAUCAGGCUCCCCACAGAGAGCUGCUUCUCCCUCUGCCUAUGUCUCUGCCUCUCCUUCUGUCAUGAAUAAAUAAAUAAAAUCUUUUAAAAAAGAAAAAGAAAAAAGAAACUCAAAGCUUUCUCACUAAGAUUAGGUACAAGCAAAAACAUCUCUUCUCCCCACUCCUUUUCAACACUGUCCUGGAAAUCCUAGUUAAUAGGAAUAGGCAAAACAAAAAAAGAUAGAUACAUGAUAGAUAGAUACAUAGAAAGGAAGAAAGGAAGGAAGGAAGGAAGGAAGGAAGGAAGGAAGGAAGGAAGGAAGGAAGGAAGGAAGGAAGGAAAUACAUAUUGGGAAGGAAGACAUAAAACUGUUCUUGCUUACAAAUGCCAUUACCGUCUAUAUAGAUGAUCCAAAAAGAAUCAACAAAAACAAAACAAAACAACAAUAAACCCUGAAACUAAUAAGCAAUUAUUACAAGGUUGUAAGAUGCAAAGUCAACAUACAAGUAAACUGCUUUCCUAUAUACUACCAAUGAAAAACUGGAAGUUGAAAUUAAAAACACAAUACCAUUUACAUUGGCACUGAGAAAACUGAAAUACUUAGGUAUAAAUCUUCCAGUAUAUGUAUAAUAUGUAUAUGAGGAAAACUAUAAAACUCUGAAAACCAAUGUCAAAGAAUUAUAAACAUGAAAAGACAUUUCAUGUUCAUGAAUAAGAAAACUCAAUAUUACAAGAUGUCAGUUCUUCCAAAAAUGAUCUAUAAAUUCACUGCAAUUCCAAUCAAAGUUCAAGCAAGUCACUUUAUGGAUAUCAACAUACUUUCUUAAGAGGCACAAAACCCAGAAUAAGCAACACAAUAUUGAUGGAAAAGAACAAAUUUGGGGGACUGACAUUACCCAACUUUAAGACUUAACAGAAAUUUACAGUAAUGAACAAGUAUGUUAUUGGUGAAAGAACAACCAGAUUAAGGGAACAGAAUAGAGAGCACAAAUGCAAUUUUAAAAAAGUGAAUAUAGAUACAGCCCUUGCAGUCCUCACAAAAAUGAACUUAAAAUGGAGCACAGAACUAAAUGUAAAACGAAGAUAUCCUUGAAGAUAUCCUUUAAGAUAACAUAGGAAAAAAUCUAGAUGACCCUGAAUAUGGUGAUGGCCUUUACCAUACAAAACCAAAGACAUGAUCCAUGAAAGAAAUAUUUGAUAACCUGGACUUCACUAAAAUUAAAAAACUUCUAUCUGUGAAAGAUAAUGUCAAGAAAAUUAGAAGAAAGCUGCAACGAGGCAAAAAUAUUUACCGAUCAUAUAUCUAAUAAGGAGUUAAUAGCCAUAAUAUAUGAAGAACUCCUACAACUCAGCAACAACAAAAAUACCCCUAUUAGAAAAAUGGCCAAGAUCUUGACUAGAGAUCUCUUCAAAGAUGACAUACAAAUAAUUGACAAGCAUAUGAAAAGAUGCCCAAUGUCACUGAUCAUCAAGAAACACAAAUCAAAACCACAAUGAGAUAUUAUUUCACAUCUAAUUAUUAUGCCUACUACCAAAAACAAGAUAAAACAAACAAAAAAGCAGAGUAAAUAUUGAUGAGGAUAUAGAGAAAUUAUAACCAUUGAGCAGUAUUGGUGGUAUUGCAAAAGAGUCCAACCACUAUUAACCAGUAUUGGGCUGUUAAAAAGAUUAAGAAAAGAACUACCAUAUGAUCCUGUAAUCCCAUUUAUGGGGUAUAUUAUAUGUAAAAGAUUUGAAAGCAAUUCAAAAAAUUCUAUAACUCUCUCUCCCAAAAAAGAAAAAAAAGAAAAAAUUUCUACAACUCAAAAAGAAUUGAAAGCAGGGUCUCUAAGAGAUAUCGGCAUAUUCAUGUUCAUAGCAGCACCAUUCACAAUAUCCAAGAGGUGAAGCAAUCCAAAUGUUUGUCAUCAGAUCAAUGGAUAAAUAAAAUGUGGCAUAUUCAUAAAAAAAAAAACAUUAUUCAGCCUAAAAAAGGAAGGAAAUCCAGUCACAUGCUACAAAAUGUGUAAAUCUGAGUAUAUUAUGCUAAGUGAAAUAAAUCAGUCACAAAAAGACAAAUAUGAUUCUGCUUUUUAGAGAUAUCUAAAAUAGUUAAUUUCAUAGAAACAGAAAAUAGGGGAUCCCUGGGUGGCGCAGCGGUUUGGCGCCUGCCUUUGGCCCAGGGCGCGAUCCUGGAUACCUGGGAUCGAAUCCCACGUCGGGCUCCCAGUGCAUGGAGCCUGCUUCUCCCUCUGCCUGUGUCUCUGCCUCUCUCUCUCUCUCUGUGUGUGUGACUAUCAUAAAUAAAUAAAAAUUAAAAAAAAAAAAAGAAACAGAAAAUAGAACGGCAGUUACCAGGAGGUAAGAGGAGGGAGAAGAGGAAAGUUAUUACUAAAUGAAUACAGGGUUUCAGAUUUGCAAGAUGAGAAAGCUCCAGAGAUCUAUUCCACAGCAACGUAAACAUACUUAACACUACUAAACUGUACAAUUAAUAGUUAAGGUAGUAAAUUUUAUGUAUUUUUUUACCACAAAAAAAUCAGAUGCUUAAAAAUUUGUGCACUCUGAAACAAGAUCAAUAAACUUUUCAGACUCUGUGGUCUAUAGUGCCUUUUAAUAUAUCUUUUUUCUAUGCCUGAUUUAAUAACAGCAUACACUGAUCAUUUAAAAAAAUACUUGUUCAAAUAAACUAAUAUGUGUUCACUGAGAUAUGCAGAUAAAACAAAUGUUGGUAUGUCAAGAAAUCAUAUUAGUUAAUAUUACCAUCAAUCUUACAGGAUUUUUUUUUUUUUUUAGUUUUGGAGAACUGUUAAGCUCACACUGUUAAGCGCAAAUAUUCCAAAAUUCUCAUUAUUUAAUGUAAAGCUCAAGUUUUAUCUUUGAUAAUAAAUGCCAUCAGUUAUUUAGUUAUUUAUUUUUUUGUAGUUGCAGGCUUAUUUUGCUCAUUUUCAAGAAUCUGUCUGUCAAAUAUCCUAGUCCCCAAAUCAUAUUGUCUAUUAUUCUUUCAGUGAAGUUUUUGUACCUUGAAAAAUGGGCUGAUUCAGCACAAAACUCACAUAAAUCUCACAUAUUCUUCUCCCCAAAGUCAUCAUUACACUUUGUUGAACAGAAGUUCUUUGUGCACAUCUUCCAUUUCACCUCAUAAAAUGUUAUAAAAAGUGAACUAAUAGGUCAAACACUAACAAAAUUAGUAAUUUUUACUUCUUUAUCAAGGACAUUUCUAAAUGAAACUGCCAUUUAAUUUUAAUGUGAGGGCAUGGCAAUAAAGAAUAAAAUGACUAGUAUAAUUUGGUGCCACUGUCUUUGUUCACACCAAGGUAUCAUCAGUUUUACUCACCAUUGGAUUCAGUAUCACCAGUACAAGUUUUUUUUUGUUUUUUGUUUUUUUCAGUACAAGCUUUCUAAGGAAAAAUCAUCCGAGUUGAAAAAGUUAUUUUACAAUGUAAAUAAUAUGCUUCAUAAUAGCUAUUACAUUAAAAAAUUCACCCUCAAGUUAUACUCUAAUUGGCAAAUGUAUCACUGCUAACAUUAUUAAGGAAAACAUAUCUAAGAAGCCUAGAUUCUCUUUCUCCAACCAUUUUUGUCUGUCCAAUAUCAAAGCCACGAGACCAGUGAAUAAAUAAGAAAUAUUUAUAAAGGAACACAGAACUGUUUAGCUAAUAAACAUGGGGGGUUGCAUAAAACAAAAAGCAAAUUUCAAAAGAUUUAAUCUCAGAUGAAACUUUAAUCAUCAAACCAUAGAAAAAAAUAUGGAGCCA